UGUAGUGUUCAUACUGAUUCUAAUUUCUUGGCAGAUAUGAGCAUCCAAUUAGAUGACCCCUUAUGCAGCAAGUGAUCCAGGAAACCAUUCAUGUAUGGAGAUUGCUCGUGCAACAUGAUGCUCUGGCUCUGCUUUGAAAUAUUUACCCUAGUGACAAGCAUCACUGAAAUGAAAAUUAAUUAUAAUUAUCACAUUACGUUGCUUAUGAAGCAGGCUGAUGUUGGAGCAACUUAUCAAUGUCGGUGACACAGCUAGUACACAUGAAAACAGCCAUUGGUGUAUAUAGAGGAUAUGCCAGUCAUCUCUUUUAGUUUGUGUUGCAUUUGACUGAAGUGUUCCGUCACUUAAUGCUACAAAUCAUUAAUCAACCCAACCCAGGUGAAUCCAACAAGUGAUUAGGUUCAAUAAAGAUGAAGCAAGCAAUGUUGGUCCCCAGGCUCUAAAUCUGAAGCUUCCUUUUGGUGAGAUAGAUGUGAUGGAGGAGAACCUGGAGCAGAUCAGGAGGAACCUGGGUCUUGAGCAUGUCAAGGUUCUGAUGAAAAGUCAUUGUUGAUGUCGUUGACGUGAAAUGUGAGCCUAUUUCUAAGAUGUGAUCGUAUUGACGUGAAAUGUGAACCUAUUUCUAAGAUGUGAUCGUAUUGACUUGAAAUGUGAACUAAUUCUAAGAUGUGUCAAUCACGGUUUUUUAUGGAGGACCAAA